GAUGAACGCUGGCGGCGUGCCUAAUACAUGCAAGUCGAGCGAACAGACGAGGAGCUUGCUCCUCUGACGUUAGCGGCGGACGGGUGAGUAACACGUGGAUAACCUACCUAUAAGACUGGGAUAACUUCGGGAAACCGGAGCUAAUACCGGAUAAUAUAUUGAACCGCAUGGUUCAAUAGUGAAAGACGGCUUUGCUGUCACUUAUAGAUGGAUCCGCGCCGCAUUAGCUAGUUGGUAAGGUAACGGCUUACCAAGGCAACGAUGCGUAGCCGACCUGAGAGAGUGAUCGGCCACACUGGAACUGAGACACGGUCCAGACUCCUACGGGAGGCAGCAGUAGGGAAUCUUCCGCAAUGGGCGAAAGCCUGACGGAGCAACGCCGCGUGAGUGAUGAAGGUCUUCGGAUCGUAAAACUCUGUUAUUAGGGAAGAACAAAUGUGUAAGUAACUAUGCACGUCUUGACGGUACCUAAUCAGAAAGCCACGGCUAACUACGUG
rnacentral:rRNA from 1 species